GUAGUGACCUGCGGAGGAUCAUUAUCGAAAAAAGGCUCCGGCUUUUUUUUUGUGUUGCCAUACCUUGACCCCCAUUUGUUGACUUAACCUUUGUUGCUUCCGUCGGCCGAAAUGCCUGCCCCCUGCCACUGGCGGUGGCGGCCUCGACCGGCGGAGGGUUUUUUUGGGAAACCAGUUGCUUUAAGUCUGAAAACGUUUACAGAGAUGAAAUUCUCAAAAACAAAACUUUCAACAACGGAUCUCUUGGCUCCUGCAUCGAUGAAGAACGCAGCGAAAUGCGAUAAGUAAUGUGAAUUGCAGAAUUCAGCGAAUCAUCGAGUCUUUGAACGCACAUUGCGCCCUAUGGCUAUUCCGUAGGGCAUGCCCGUCUCAGCGUCAGCAGAAACCCAUCAGGCCGGGCUUUUAAAUGUCAGGCCUGGAUUUUGUCGGAGAGGCAUAGGGGCCACGGCCCUCAUGCCCUCCGUGAAGCAAUGGAUAUCUUGGAGAUUUGUGUCAUCCCAGCGUGAUAGAAAAUUUCGUUCGUUGGGUAAAAUAAUUUCUUCAAAAGCUUCCAGAAAACCCCAUUUUUCUAAGAGACUUGACCUGAGAUCGGGUAGGGAUACCCGCUGAACUUAAGCAUAUCA
rnacentral:rRNA from 1 species